GAUCAUGUAAUCGCCAAAGCUGCGUUUUUUUGCAGUGCUCCUGACUGACCCAGGAUCUGUUGUGUCAACUAUUUUACACAUACAUGCCGUCUCCCUACCAUCCUGCCAAGCUCACCAAUCAGAAGCGGCAUGCUGCUCGUGGACAGGUCACGCUAACCAAUCAGUAUAGCCUGCUCCACCUGCUCUUUAAUUUCUGAAAUGGCUUCAGCUGGACCAGAAGCGGAGUUUGGGGAUUUAAUCACCAAGAAAAACAGUACGUCCAUCAUUUGGGAGUAUUUCGGGUUUAAGGCUGCAGACGUGCACCAGAAACAGAAUAGAUGUGCAAUAUUUGGGUGCUGCUCAGCUAAGCCAUAAAUGAAUGACCGACCUAUUUUAAUGUCUGACAUAUUUUUCAGAAGUCCACAGAUCCUCUGGCUGGUCUGGAUGUAUUUGUCCAGCUGAUACGCCAGCACUUCCACAUUCUGCAGUUUGGGCUGGAAGAAGACCUUUGCAUCUCUUUUAAACUCAAUGAGCAGAGGGCAGACCAGCCAUGCAGCAGCGAUCACCACCUGAACAUAAUCGAGGCCGACCCCCUCUGGCAGGUGCAACACCACCUGCCUCCCGUCCAUGAACACAUGAAGUGAGGUGACUGCCAGUUUCUCUACCGCAUCCAGGAAACAGUGGAGCGUCUCCAGUUCCAUCAGAGUGUCCUUCAGCACAGCAGCCAGCUCUUCCUCCCUGCUCUUUGCGGUCACCUGCCUGAUGUUUAUGUCCCUCAUCAUAUUUAACUCUGACUCCCUCCCUAGCAUCCAUUUAGGGGCCCUCUUACAGAAUCCUCUCACUGUGUGGAUGUGGAUGAGGGUGUCUGCAGUGUAGCGCAACAAGGCCUUCUGGAGCUGCUUUCUGUAUGAAAAUAAAGGGAAACCAAUCAA